UACAUAUUUCCAUAUUCACUGCAAAGCGAAUGUAUGUUAUCUGCAAAGCGAAUGUAUAUUAUCUGCAAAGCGAAUGCCAUUUUCCUGCAACGCGAAUGUCAUUUUCCUGCAAUGCGAAUGUAUUUUAUCUGCACCGCGAAUGUAUUUCUGUGUGCUUGCGAACUUCAAGAUCAAGAACGAGAAGAACGAAAAUACCAAGACCUGACCAGGCCGAGGUGAAGACUAUCACCGAGAAGAAAUAAUAUUCCAACAUUGCACUUAGUAAAUCAGAAAUUUGCUGAUCUUUACACUUCAAGCGGGAAAUGUAAAUAAAUAUUGCUGCUGCCUUUAGUUUAUUCGGCGAUUCGUACAGAAGAAUUAUGAAGACUCGAAACUUAUUAUAACAUUGUAAAUUUAUAAAAAAAAAUAAGGACUUAACUGACAGACAUUUUAUACUUUGGAGCAGCGAAGAGCCAGACUAGACACAAGGAUAACCGUAAUGUUUUUUUAAAUAAUUUACAGAUAGGGAACCAACAGUACAGUCCACCACAACCUACAAAGAGUCCACCGUCCUCCUCAAUACUCCUCAUAGACAUCAAUUCUCAGCGUAGCUUCAUCGUAUAGUAUGGGUAUUAGGUAACAAUUGGGGCAGUGCGAUUAAAAAAUGUAAUAUGCCGCCAGUCAUUUUGUAGUCCUCUAAAUUCUCGUGUAUUGUCUGCAUUAUUACUUAUGUCUCAAACUCAUA